rnacentral:ncRNA from 2 species
UUCAACAGAUCGGGAGAACUGGGAAACCAGUGCCGAAGGAGCAACCGCCCCGGAAACUCUCAGGCCCAAGGACCGAUCAGGGACA